rnacentral:ncRNA from 2 species
GGGUGCGGGUUUUAGUCCCGCAGGACUCGGAUUUGGUCGGGCCGCCAUUU